CAGUAGCCGCGGUAAUACGAAGGGUGCAAGCGUUAAUCGGAAUUACUGGGCGUAAAGCGUGCGUAGGCGGUGAGUUAAGUCUGCUGUGAAAUCCCCGGGCUCAACCUGGGAAUGGCAGUGGAUACUGGCUCGCUAGAGUGUGUCAGAGGAUGGCGGAAUUCCCGGUGUAGCGGUGAAAUGCGUAGAGAUCGGGAGGAAUACCGGUGGCGAAGGCGGCCCCCUGGACAAAGACUGACGCUCAGGUGCGAAAGCGUGGGGAGCAAACAGGAUUAGAUACCCCUGUAGUCCCUGUCCUUAUACA
rnacentral:rRNA from 1 species